rnacentral:rRNA from 1 species
UACGGGGGGGGCAAGCGUUGUUCGGAAUUACUGGGCGUAAAGGGCGCGUAGGCGGCCUGCUAAGUCGGACGUGAAAUCCCUCGGCUCAACCGAGGAACUGCGUCCGAUACUGGUGGGCUUGAAUCCGGGAGAGGGAUGUGGAAUUCCAGGUGUAGCGGUGAAAUGCGUAGAUAUCUGGAGGAACACCGGUGGCGAAGGCAGUGUCCUGGCGCGUAACUGACGCUGAGGUGCGAAAGCCAGGGGAGCGAACGGG